rnacentral:rRNA from 1 species
AGAGUUUGAUCCUGGCUCAGAUUGAACGCUGGCGGCAUGCCUUACACAUGCAAGUCGAACGGCAGCACGAGAGCUUGCUCUUGGUGGCGAGUGGCGAACGGGUGAGUAAUAUAUCGGAACGUACCCUAGAGUGGGGGAUAACGUAGCGAAAGUUACGCUAAUACCGCGUACGAUCUACGGAUGAAAGUGGGGGAUCGCAAGACCUCAUGCUCAUGGAGCGGCCGAUAUCUGAUUAGCUAGUUGGUGGGGUAAAAGCUCACCAAGGCGACGAUCAGUAGCUGGUCUGAGAGGACGACCAGCCACACUGGAACUGAGACACGGUCCAGACUCCUACGGGAGGCAGCAGUGGGGAAUUUUGGACAAUGGGCGCAAGCCUGAUCCAGCAAUGCCGCGUGAGUGAAGAAGGCCUUCGGGUUGUAAAGCUCUUUUGUCAGGGAAGAAACGGUGGACUCUAAUACAGAUCACUAAUGACGGUACCUGAAGAAUAAGCACCGGCUAACUACGUGCCAGCAGCCGCGGUAAUACGUAGGGUGCAAGCGUUAAUCGGAAUUACUGGGCGUAAAGCGUGCGCAGGCGGUUGUGCAAGACAGAUGUGAAAUCCCCGGGCUCAACCUGGGAAUUGCAUUUGUGACUGCACGGCUAGAGUGUGUCAGAGGGGGGUAGAAUUCCACGUGUAGCAGUGAAAUGCGUAGAGAUGUGGAGGAAUACCGAUGGCGAAGGCAGCCCCCUGGGAUAACACUGACGCUCAUGCACGAAAGCGUGGGGAGCAAACAGGAUUAGAUACCCUGGUAGUCCACGCCCUAAACGAUGUCUACUAGUUGUCGGGUCUUAAUUGACUUGGUAACGCAGCUAACGCGUGAAGUAGACCGCCUGGGGAGUACGGUCGCAAGAUUAAAACUCAAAGGAAUUGACGGGGACCCGCACAAGCGGUGGAUGAUGUGGAUUAAUUCGAUGCAACGCGAAAAACCUUACCUACCCUUGACAUGUCUGGAAUCCUUGAGAGAUCAGGGAGUGCUCGAAAGAGAAUCAGAACACAGGUGCUGCAUGGCUGUCGUCAGCUCGUGUCGUGAGAUGUUGGGUUAAGUCCCGCAACGAGCGCAACCCUUGUCAUUAGUUGCUACGAAAGGGCACUCUAAUGAGACUGCCGGUGACAAACCGGAGGAAGGUGGGGAUGACGUCAAGUCCUCAUGGCCCUUAUGGGUAGGGCUUCACACGUCAUACAAUGGUACAUACAGAGGGCCGCCAACCCGCGAGGGGGAGCUAAUCCCAGAAAGUGUAUCGUAGUCCGGAUUGUAGUCUGCAACUCGACUACAUGAAGUUGGAAUCGCUAGUAAUCGCGGAUCAGCAUGUCGCGGUGAAUACGUUCCCGGGUCUUGUACACACCGCCCGUCACACCAUGGGGGCGGGUUUCACCAGAAGUGGGUAGCCUAACCGCAAGGAGGGCGCUCACCACGGUGGGAUUCGUGACUGGGGUGAAGUCGUAACAAGGUA